rnacentral:rRNA from 1 species
UACGUAGGGCGCAAGCGUUGUCCGGAAUUAUUGGGCGUAAAGAGCUCGUAGGCGGUUUGUCGCGUCUGCUGUGAAAACCUAAGGCUCAACCUUGGGCUUGCAGUGGGUACGGGCAGAUUAGAGUGCGGUAGGGGGUGACUGGAAUUCCUGGUGUAGCGGUGGAAUGCGCAGAUAUCAGGAGGAACACCGAUGGCGAAGGCAGGUCACUGGGCCGCAACUGACGCUGAGGAGCGAAAGCAUGGGGAGCGAACAGG